AAAUGCAGUCCUCCGGAUGGUUUGUCUCAAACUUUCAACCUUCCGAGCAUGGGGCCUUAGAGGAAUCUUAAGUGUAGCAUCCUCCUCAGUCACAGGGGUACUGCUGCCACGACCAUAAAUUGGAGUCACGUUCUUCGUAGUAACCUCUCCUUUACAUACAGGACAUUCCUUGGCUUCUGAAUGUAGAUGUAACCAUCGAUAAAGGCACGGCCAGCAGUA
rnacentral:misc_RNA from 1 species